UGGUGGAGUGAUUUGUCUGGUUAAUUCCGUUAACGAACGAGACCUCUUUUUACUAAAUAGUCUGGGUUAUUUCGAUAGCUACAAACUUCUUAGAGAGACUUGAACUUACAAAGUUCCGGAAGUGGGAGGCAAUAACA
rnacentral:rRNA from 1 species